rnacentral:misc_RNA from 1 species
AACUGAUACUACCUGCGGGAACCUGCGGAGGGAUCAUUACUGAAGUGAUUUGGGGAUGUUGCUGGCCCUCUCUCAAGGGGGGGCACUGUGCACUCCUCGAAACAAUUCGCAAUUUCCAUCACACCCCUUGUGCACACCUUGUAGGCACCCAAACCCACCUCCGGGUGGUGGGGUCCUAUGUAUUCCUUCAUCUCACACUCUGUUGAAUGGUGCCAUGGGACGCAUCUAAAGGAUUAUUUG